rnacentral:lncRNA from 1 species
CCCCCUGCGCCGCCGCUGCCAACCCGGAAGGAGCCCGGAGGGGCCCGGGCGGCCAGGGCGCCCCCGCCAGGAGGCCCGCCAGGUGUCCACCUGAGCCCCACGCCCUGCGCCGCGGGGCCCUUUUGGGGGCGGGGUGCCAGCUCCGAGGUGUCCUCCCACGGGCUGUAGACUGGGAAACUGAGGCCCGGGCCACGGUCCCAGACGCAGCCGGGACCCGAACCCACCUCACCUGAGCGAAUGAUAUCCGGGACUCAUCCUUUUUCGACACCUUUGCGGGAUCCAGCCCUCCAAGGAAAGCUUCCUGAGCAGUGCGCGCCACGUGUAUUGGGCACCUCACCGCGGCCACUUCACAUCCUAUCUCAGGUGGAGAAACUAAGCCACAGAAAGGAGCUGUCAUUUACCUAAAGCACCGUGGCAGGGGUUUGGCAGAGCCAGGAUUUGUACCCAGAUCGCCUGACUUCGGAGAGUAACAGCUCUUAACCACAGCACUUCGGUCUAUGCCUUGAUUUCACCAUAUGUAACAAGUGGUCUUCACCAUCCACGGAGAAGGGAAAGCAACAGAAGCUGAGAGCCAAGCAUGGGGCCUGGAGGUCGGACAGACUUGUGCCACCCAUUGGCUUGAGCAGGGACCCCAUCUCUCUCAACCCCAGUCUCUUCACCUGUACGCUGGAGCUAAUAAUGACGGUGGCUGCCUGAUCGAGCAGGUGAUGAUUCAAUGGCGCAAUGUACAACAUACAGCCGGCACCAGGCACAUUGGACAAGAGCUUGCCGUGUUGCCCCAGGCUGGUCUCAAACUCCUAGCCUCAAGCAAACUUCCUGUCUCGGCCUUUCAAAACCCUGAGAUUACAAGCAUAAGAAAAGAAAAUCUUGUAAGAUGAAAGCUGAAGGAUGAGAGCAAUUAAUUGAUGAAGUAUGAUGAUCCAGGUGUCCCUGGGUGAAGAAACAACCUCUACAAAGGCCCUGAGGGUCUCGCUCAUCACCAGGCUGGAGUACAGUGACAUGAUCA